rnacentral:tRNA from 1 species
CGGGAAGUGGCGCAGCCUGGUAGCGCACACGCUUGGGGUGCGUGGGGUCGGCGGUUCAAAUCCGCUCUUCCCGACCA